rfam:Capsicum annuum cultivar Zunla-1 chromosome 9, whole genome shotgun sequence
CUCAUGGAGAGUUUGAUCCUGGCACAGGAUGAACGCUGGCGACAUGCUUAACACAUGAAAGUCGAAUGGGAAACACGAGAAACGACAUUUCUAGUGUAAGACAGGUGAGUAAUGCAUAAGAACCUGCCCUCGGGAGGGGAACAACAGCUGGAAACGGUUGCUAAUACCUCGUAGGCUGAGGAGAAAAAGGAGGAAUCCACCCGAGAAGGGGCUCGUAUCUGAUUAGCUAGUUGGUGAGGCAAUAGCUUACCAAGGUGAUGAUCAGUAGCUGGUCCAAGAGGAUGAUCAACCACACUGGGAUUGAGACAUGACCCAGACUCCUAUGGGAGGCAGCAGUAGGGAAUUUUCCAUAAUGGGCAAAAGCAUGAUGGAGCAAUGCCGCCUGGAGGUAGAAGGCCCAUGGGUCGUGAACUUCUUUUCCCAAAGAAGAAAAAAUGACGGUAUCUGGGGAAUAAGCAUCAUCUAACUCUGUGCCAGCAGCCGUGGUAAUACAGAGGAUGCAAGUGUUAUCCAGAAUGAUUGAGCAUAAAGCAUCUGUAGGUGGCUUUUUAACUCCGCCGUCAAAUGCCAGGGCUUAACCCUGGACAGGUGGUAGAAGCUACCAAGCUGGAGUACGGUAGGGGCAGAGCGAAUUUCUAGUAGAGUGGUGAAAUGCGUAGAGAUCAGAAAGAAUACCAAUGGCGAAAGCACUCUACUGGGUCGACACUGACACUGAGAGAUGAAAGCUAGGGGAGCAAAUGGGAUUAGAUACCCCAGUAUUCUUAGACAUAAAUGAUGGAUACUAGGUGCUAUGUGUGUCGACCCGUGCAGUGCUGUAGCUAACACAUUAAGUAUCCUACCUGGGGAGUACGUUCGUAAAAAUAAAACUCAAAGGAAAUGACGGGGGCCCAGACAAGCGGUGGAGCAUAUGGUUUAAUUUGAUGCAAAGCGAAUAAACUUACUAGGGCUUGACAUGCCGCGAAUCCUCUUGAAAGAGAAGGGUGCCUUUGGGCAAGCGGACACAAGUGGAGCAUGGCUGUCGUCAGCUUGUGCUGUAAGGUGUUGAGUUAAGUUCCGCAACAAGCGCAACCCUCGUGUUUAGUUGACAUUGUUGAUUUUUGAACCCUAAAUAGGUUGCCGGUGAUAAGACGGAGGAAGGUGAGGAUGACAUCAAGUUAUCAUGCCCCUUAUGCCUUGGGCGACAUAUGUGCUACAAUCGCCGGGAUAAAAGGUCGCUAUCCCACGAGGGUGAGCUAACCCCAAAAUCCCAUUCUCAAUUUUGAUUGUAGGCUACAAGUCACCUGCAUGAAGUCGAAAUUGCUAGUAAUCGUCGGUCAGCUAUACGGCAGUGAAUUCGUUCCCGGGCCUUGUACAAACUGCCCAUCACACUAUGGGAGCUGACCAUGCCCAAAGUCAUUACCUUAAUCGCAAGAAGGGGGAUGUCGAAGGCAGGGCUAGUUACUGGAGUGAAGUUAUUAGAAGGUAGCCAUACUAGAAGUUGCGGCUGGAUCACCUCUUUU